GACGAACGCUGGCGGCGUGCUUAACACAUGCAAGUCGAACGGUGAAGGGACCAGCUUGCUGGUUCUGGAUGAGUGGCGAACGGGUGAGUAACACGUGAGUAACCUGCCCCCUUCUUCUGGAUAACCGCAUGAAAGUGUGGCUAAUACGGGAUAUUCUGGGUCUGUCGCAUGGCGGGCCCGGGAAAGAUAUUGCUUCGGUGGGGGAUGGGCUCGCGGCCUAUCAGCUUGUUGGUGGGGUGAUGGCCUACCAAGGCGGUGACGGGUAGCCGGCCUGAGAGGGGGGACGGUCACACUGGGACUGAGACACGGCCCAGACUCCUACGGGAGGCAGCAGUGGGGAAUAUUGCACAAUGGGCGCAAGCCUGAUGCAGCGACGCCGCGUGAGGGAUGGAGGCCUUCGGGUUGUAAACCUCUUUCGCCAGUGAAGCAGGCCUGCUCCUUGUGGGUGGGUUGACGGUAGCUGGAGAAGAAGCGCCGGCUAACUACGUG
rnacentral:rRNA from 1 species